rnacentral:tRNA from 1 species
GUUUUCUCAGUAUUUGCGUAUAGGUGCCUUCCACGCACACGGUUUAAAUAAAUUUAAAGAUAACA